UACGUAGGGUGCAAGCGUUGUCCGGAAUUAUUGGGCGUAAAGAGCUCGUAGGCGGUCUGUCGCGUCGGCUGUGAAAACCCCGGAGCUCAACUCCGGGCCUGCAGUCGAUACGGGCAGACUGGAGUUCGGCAGGGGGAGACUGGAAUUCCUGGUGUAGCGGUGAAAUGCGCAGAUAUCAGGAGGAACACCGGUGGCGAAGGCGGGUCUCUGGGGCCGAUACUGACGCUGAGGAGCGAAAAGCGUGGGG
rnacentral:rRNA from 1 species